rnacentral:lncRNA from 1 species
AAACCACCAGGAACAGCUUGGAAGUGACCCCAAACCACUUGGAGGUGUCCCCAAAUCUGUGGGAUCUGCAGGUUUGGAACUGUCCCCAAAUCCCCAGGAUCAGUUUGGAAUUGUCCCCAAACCCCGGGAUCCUUUUGCUGCUGUCCCCAGGAUCCCUUUGGGAUUGUCCCCAGGAUCCCUUUGCUGCUGUCCCCAAAUCCCAGGGAUCUGUUUGGAAUUGUCCCCAAACCCCGGGAUCCUUUUGCUGCUGUCCCCAGGAUCCCUUUGGAAUUGUCCCCAGGAUCCCUUUGCUGCUGUCCCCAAGUCCCCAGGAUCAGUUAAGAACUGUCCCCAAAUCUCUGGGAUCCCUCUGGAAUUGUCCCCAAGCCACAGGAUCCCUUUGCUGCUGUCCCCAAAUCCCGGGGAUCUGUUUGGAAUUGUCCCCAGGAUCCCUUUGGGAUUGGUCUCAAACCCCAGGAUCCCUUUGGGGCUGUCUCUGGGAUCCCUUUGGAAUUGUCCCCAAACCCCGGGAUCCUUUUGGAAUUGUCCCCAGGAUCCCUUUGGCAUUGUCCCCAGGAUCAGUUCAGAACUGUCCUCAAGUCCCGUGGAUCCUUUGGAAUUGUCCCCAAACCCCAGGAUCCCUUUGGGAUUGUCCCCAGGAUCAGUUCAGAACUGUCCUCAAGUCCCCAGGAUCAGUUCAGAGCUGUCCCCAGGAUCCCUUUGGGAUUGUCCCCAAACCCCGGGAUCCCUUUGGAUCUGUCCCCAAACCCCAGGAUCAGUUCAGAGCUGUCCCCAGGAUCCCCUUGGAUCUGUCCCCAAGUCCCCAGGACCCAUUUGGAUCUGUCCCCAAGGUCACUCUGUCCCCGUCCCUCUGAGGAUGAUGCUGAACUCCGAGCCCCCGUCCCUCU